rnacentral:rRNA from 1 species
GGCGAAAGCCUGAUCCAGCAAUGCCGCGUGUGUGAAGAAGGCCUUCGGGUUGUAAAGCACUUUUGUCCGGAAAGAAAUCCGCCUGGCUAAUACCCGGGCGGGAUGACGGUACCGGAAGAAUAAGCACCGGCUAACUACGUGCCAGCAGCCGCGGUAAUACGUAGGGUGCGAGCGUUAAUCGGAAUUACUGGGCGUAAAGCGUGCGCAGGCGGUUAUGCAAGACAGGUGUGAAAUCCCCGGGCUCAACCUGGGAACUGCACUUGUGACUGCAUGACUAGAGUGCGUCAGAGGGAGGUGGAAUUCCGCGUGUAGCAGUGAAAUGCGUAGAGAUGCGGAGGAACACCGAUGGCGAAGGCAGCCUCCUGGGAUGACACUGACGCUCAUGCACGAAAGCGUGGGGAGCAAACAGGAUUAGAUACCCUGGUAGUCCACGCCCUAAACGAUGUCAACUAGUUGUCGGGGAUUCAUUUCCUUGGUAACGCAGCUAACGCGUGAAGUUGACC